rnacentral:rRNA from 1 species
CGUAGGGUCCGAGCGUUGUCCGGAAUUAUUGGGCGUAAAGAGCUCGUAGGCGGUUUGUCGCGUCUGCUGUGAAAUCCCGAGGCUCAACCUCGGGCCUGCAGUGGGUACGGGCAGACUGGAGUGCGGUAGGGGAGAAUGGAAUUCCUGGUGUAGCGGUGGAAUGCGCAGAUAUCAGGAGGAACACCGAUGGCGAAGGCAGUUCUCUAAACCGUAACUGACGCUGAAGAGCGAAAGCGUGGGGAGCGAACAGGAUUAGAUACCCUGGUAGUCCACGCCGUAAACGUUAAACGCUAAAUGUGGGGACCUUUCCACGGUUUCCGUGUCGUAGCUAACGCAUUAAGCGCCCCGCCUGGGGAGUACGGCCGCAAGGCUA